rnacentral:sRNA from 21 species
CCCAGAGGUAUUGAUAGGUGAAGUCAGCGACUUAGCUGAUCACAACACUUACACCAACCUGCGCGGAUGCGCAGGUUUUUUUU